rnacentral:rRNA from 1 species
GACGAACGCUGGCGGCGUGCUUAACACAUGCAAGUCGAACGGUGAUAGCGGAGCUUGCUCCGCUGGAUCAGUGGCGAACGGGUGAGUAACACGUGGGCAACCUGCCCCAGACUUCGGGAUAACUCUUCGAAAGAGGUGCUAAUACCGGAUACGAACUCUGCAGGCAUCUGUGGAGUUGGAAUGUUUUUCGGUCUGGGAUGGGCCCGCGGCCUAUCAGCUAGUUGGUGAGGUAGUGGCUCACCAAGGCGACGACGGGUAGCCGGCCUGAGAGGGCGACCGGCCACACUGGGACUGAGACACGGCCCAG